CAUCGCCUCCACUGUUCGGUUACAAAAAUGCUUUUAUUAAUCACUAAUUAAGGCCUUCAAAAUGUCAAACCUGCUGAAUAUGUUAGAUUUAAAGAAACCUGAAACAACUUUAGAGUCACCAGUACAGGUAGCUUUCGCUUCUACCCAUUUUGAGACAUAAUCAACAAUUAAUAAAAUAUAAACGUAACCAAACAAAUAUGAAAAAAGCCUCAUGAAAUCUGUCCAUGCAAUGCAUAGAUCUCUUUUGUCUUUGAGCAAAGGAAUGGCAAUCCACCUCUGAUUAAUUGAUGAUUCAUCAUCGUCUGGGAGAGGGAGGAUCACCAGUGUGGUGGUUGGCAAACUUUGGUCAUUAGAGAAGUAACAACAAGACAAAACCACAAACCCUAAGGGGAAAAUGUUUAUUUUCAAGCCUUAGGUGAGGGGAAAUGAUAGUUUUUAGACCUAGAGAAAAAAUGUAAUAAAACUUUAAUUUAAUAAAAUUUUUUAUUAAAUAAUAUUUUUACCUCUAAUCUUAAUUAAUAUUUUUAACAGAAAUUAACUUUUAGGUGGAUGUUUGAGUUUUUAAAAGUUGAAUGUUGGAAGUUUAGGAUUAUAUCAAGCCUUGGGUGGGAACAAGUCUUUUGGCCAUAUACGAGUUAUACAUUUAAUUAUGAUUUUUCAAGUUAAACUUAAUUCAACAGCUUCUAUUUUAAGUUCAAUUCAAGCCUACAGCUCCUCAACUCGCCCAACUCAGAUUCAAAUCUUACAUAAAUCUAAUUGAAUCGAGCUCAAUUUGCAGUCUUAGUAUUGUGGUAAAGUAAUAUCUUUUUUGUAAAUAUAUUAUUACUAUCCGUAGCACUGGGUUGUAAUACUUUCUACAAACCUUGAGGGGUAAAUUGUCAUAUUUCUGAUAUUUUCUGAUACACUUACUCGCACAAACGCUCGGGCCUGGACCUGUCUGGGAAAUCCCAUUAUCUUCAUCUCUGUGGUUCGUUAAGAAAACUUUCCCUUUCCCUUCCUUCUUCCUCCGUCCGCACUCUGCUGUUCCGACGCUGCUGAGUGUUUUUAGCGUUUUAAUUUUUUGUCUAAAUUACCCUCCGUUCAUGGCCAUCGCCUCUGUAACCCUCGACUGGUGCAGUGUCCCAGACCCCAUUCUCUUCAACAUAGCGCAACGCCUCCAAUCCAAACUGAACUCAGCCGUUUCCGCGCCGUCUGCAGCUCGUUCCACUUCGCCGUCCCUCUCCCCUCUCCGAAACUUUCUCCCGUUCAUUAUUACUAUGACCCCGGAAUCUGCGAACCCCCUUUGCUCCUCGUCAUUGCCGAAUCCACUGUCUAUGCCUUUCAACCCCUUUCCCACGGCGCCCCUCCGUGGAUAGUCAAAGUUGAAAAAUCAAGCCAGGGAGAAACCCGGGUCCAGGACACCUACUUUCGCCGUCAUUUUGAAGAGCACGUUCUUGAAAUGUUGCCUAAGUGAAUUUGCUGGAAUAUCGUGUGCAGGAAAUCAGUAAAGGUUAUAGAAUCGAUUGGGUUUUUGAUGAACAUCCGAGGCAGUUUAGUGGGUGGAAGGAUAUUUUGUUUCAAAAAGUCGCCGUCUCUGCAGAUAAUGAUGAGUUAGCAGUCAUGGUUUUUCUGAAUUUGGAGUUGAUGGUUUGGAGGAGCUGUGAUAAGAAAUGGGUCGACUUGGGUUUUGGUGAGGAUAUUGCCUAUUAUAAGAAGAAGUUUCAUGUAGUGAUGUCAAAUGGGCAUAUUUUAAGUGUUGAUCCGAAGUCUUUGGAGGUUGGUGAAACUUUGCCUCCAUUGUUGACUCGUUUUACUUACAAAAGCUUUGUAAAUACAUCUAGUGAAUUGUAUUUGAUUGAAAAUCGUAAUAGUAGUGAUAAAAAAUUGGGAAAUAACAGAAAUUUCUCUCUAGCUAAGGCUGAGAAAGUGGUUUUGAAUUCUAUUUUCUAUGUGUUUAGGCUGGAUGAAGAAGAGUAAGAGUGGAUUGAAGUGAAGGAUUUGGAGGGUCGAGGAUUGUUUCUGUUUGAUGGAGGUAGCUUAUUUAUUUCAGCUAAAGAUUUUUUGGGAAUAAAACCAAAUUGUGUUUAUAUGGGUGAAACUGGUUUCUUUGGGGUUACAUAUGAUUUUCCAGGGAUGUAUACUUUGAUUUUCGACUUCAAUGAUGGUAGCAAUGAGUGGCUCGUAUCAUUUCCUGAAUCUUAUGAGAUUUUUUCGUCUCCACCAGCUUGGCUCUUCCCUGAAUGUACUUGAACAACUUCUAUGGAACGAUGCGAAGACAUUUUAUUGAAGAAGUUUUUGGGAUAAACCGCUUGAGUAGUGUUUCAUCAUCAAUGUGAAGAUUUGAUUAACAUCUUGGUCGGACUAUGCACGAAUUAUAAAGAAUUAUUUUUUUUAUUAGUUGGUAGUUAUGCUGGUUUUAAUUUCUGAGCAUGUAUAUAUGCAUUAUGGAUGUUAAUGUUAUGAAACUAGAUUAAGCUUGGUCAUUUACUUCUGUUAUGCCCAGACUCCUGUAUAUCAACUAGCUUUCCUACACAUUUUGAGCUGCUAAUAUUGUCCUGAUGAGCUCAGAGUCUUUCAGAUUACUUUUGUGAUGAUAAUCUGGCAUUACACGAUUGGAGUUGGAGGAGUCCCAGAAGCCCAAUUAGGGCUGCAAGUGAGAUGAGAUGCUUUCAAACUGCUCAUGGCACGGUUUAUAUCGGGCAGAGUUGAGUUUUGAGUUGGUUUGAUUUUAAAUGUGGAUAAUUGAUGAAUAUAUAAGUUACGAGAUUUAAUUUAAAUGUAUCGAAUUAAGCUCAAGUUAGUUGUUUUAUCUUGAGCUCAAGCCAGAAACUUUUUAACUUGGUGAGCAUGAACUUGAGAUUUGUGUAAAUAUAAUCAAGUCAAACUUGAAUCAAACAAUACUUGGUUUAGUUUGGUA